AAAAUAAUCCUACCCUUUGUGAAUUUUGUUUGUUUGAAUAAUUUUUUUUUUUAAAAAAUUAUUGGAGUCUUUCCUUUAGAGUUUGCUUUUGAGUUUGUAAAAGAAUUCGAAAACAUCUAAAGGGGAUGGUCAAUAAUUUUUUUGAAAAAAGACAUUUUUUAAAAUUAAACUUUUUGUAUUCAUUUGUCUAAAAAUUAUUUUAUAAUAUAAAAACAACUUUUGACAAUGGAUCUCUUGGUUCUCGCAACGAUGAAGAACGCAGCAAAAUGCGAUAAGUAGUGUGAAUUGCAGAAUACGUGAAUCAUCGAAUCUUUGAACGCAUAUUGCACUUUUUUAGUUUACUAAAAAAGUAUGUCUGUUUGAGUAUCAGUAAAAUAUUCUCAUAAAAAUCAUUGUGUAUUUUUAUGGUUAUGAGUGUUUUACAACGAUACAAGUUGUUUCACUUUAAAUUUUUUUUUAAUAUUGAAAUUUUUCUAAUUUUAAUAAUUAAAAUUGGAUAAAAUUUUCCCGUCAAAAGGAAUAACCUAAACAAUUUUAAACGAUUAAUUUUAGCAAAAUUUUCGUAAAAAAGGAAGAUUUUUAUUAAAAUAACUUGAUCUCAAAUCAGAUAAGAGUACCCGCUGAACUUAAGCAUAUCAAUAAGCGGAGGAGAAGAAACUAACAAGGAUUCCCUUAGUAACGGCGAGUGAAGCGGGAAGAGCUCAAAUUUGAAAUCUUCAAGGUUUUACCUUGACGAAUUGUAGUUUACAGAAGUGUUUUCUGCUGAAGUUUUGGUAAAAGUUCUUUGGAAUAGGACAUCAUAGAGGGUGAGAAUCCCGUAUUUGACCAUUAUUUUCAGCUUUGUGAUACACUUUCAAAGAGUCGGAUUGUUUGGGAAUGCAGUCCAAAAUGGGUGGUAAAUUUCAUCUAAAGCUAAAUAUUGGCGAGAGACCGAUAGCGAACAAGUACCGUGAGGGAAAGAUGAAAAGAACUUUGAAAAGAGAGUUAAACAGUACGUGAAAUUGUCAAAAGGGAAGCGUUUGACACCAGUGUUGUUUUCUCGAAAAUCAAUUAAAAAUGGCUCGAUUUUGUAUUGCUGAGACCUUAAAAGCUCACUGUACAUUUUUCGUGUCUUUUUUAAUGCACUUUUCGUUUAACAAGUCGACAUCAGUUUCUUUUGUUGUAAAAGGGUCAUUGGAAGGUGGCUUUCUUUUCGGAGAAAGUGUUUAUAGCCUUUGGCCUCUGCAAUCGAAGAGACUGAGGUCUGCAGCGUAGACUCUUCGGGUUAGAUACAUUUGUGCUAAGUUAUAGCUUUUUAUAGACAACUUGUUGACUAUAAUUAGUCUUGUAGCUUACUCGCUUAUGCUAUUUUA
rnacentral:misc_RNA from 1 species